ACUGGAGUGCAGAAGUGUACUCUUCAACUGAGAAAUGGCUCUGCUUCAUAUUCACAGAUUCUGGAAAACAAGGGCCUUACAUACAAUGGUACCAUUCCCUUAUUAGUGGGAAUAUUCUUCCAUUUCUCAACCACCACAUUUUUACUUACUGAAUUCUAGAGACUGCUUGGUAGGACUCUAAGCACAUCAUCUUACCAAUGAAAUACAACUGCUGUAAAUUCCUACUGCUGCAGCUACACCACACAGUCACAAUACAAUCCUCUGGUCAGACACCCAGGUCAUACAGUUUGAAACUGUAGUUGUUUCUGUGUGUGUACCUAGCAGAGAUAGGAAAUACGGUUCUUGGGAAAUAAAUCCAGUCGAGACAAGAUUUAUCCUCUCCUAAAGCCUAGGUUUAAAAAUAUAUACUCAUGAGUACUUUAGAAUGAUGCUUACCAUUUUUAUAGUGCCUUACAAGCAUUGAUGAGCAUUCUGGUGUUUAGAAAAUUUCUUCUAAAAUUCCUUCAAAUUAUUAAGCAUUGCUUUCAUGAAAAAAUGUUAUGAAACCAUUUUCCAUGCCAGUUGUGAAUCUGUUCCUCCUAUGUUACCUAGGAGACACUCUGAUUCCGUGACUGAGGAAACCUCUCAUUACAAUAUCAGGGAUGCAAACACUUUAAUACAUCAUCUCCACUACUUUCAGCUAUAUCAAAAUUACGGUUGGUAAUGCUUAAAUAUUCUCAGCACUGUCAAAUAAAGACCGUAUCAUUAACAAAAGCCUAGCUCUUAAAGUAAAAAGGUAAUGAGACUAUGCAUAAGCUCAAGGUAUCACACAUACAUUUUUCUUACUAGAAGACUUCAGUGUGGGGACCCCAACUGAGCUUUUUAGAUAGCAGGAAGUUGGAACAGGCAUAACUCAGUUUAGCUUCACGUCCUACUCAGGUAUCUUUUUUUUUCCUGUCCCAGUCCAAGGGCCUCUUCCCUUAUAGCUAGAUCUGUGAUGGAACAAAAAUCAGCGGAUGCAGCUUAUUUCAAUACAACAUCUACUGGUCAAAGAUUUAAAGAUUUGAAAUAAGGGAGGUUGGUGACAGGUGAUUUCUUAUG